rnacentral:tRNA from 1 species
GGUUUGUAGCUCAGUGGUAGAGCUCUAGCCUAGAAGAUGAGAGGCCCUGGGUUUGAUCCUCAGCACCA